AUGUGGGGCCAUACUGCCAUUAACAUCAAUGGGAAAGUUAGUAACUUCUUUAAGAAUUCUCGUGGCCUCCGGCAAGGUGAUCCGGCCUCGCCCAUCCUCUUUAACUUUGUGGCGGAUGCUCUUUCUAAUAUCCUAUCCAGAGCCGCGGAGGCUGGCCACAUCUCUCCUGUUAGCUCACACCUCAUUCUGGAGGGUAUUACUCACCUCCAAUAUGCAGACGAUACAAUUAUUCUUGUGGAACUAAACGAUCAUUGCAUUGCCCAUCUCAAAUUUCUGCUACUUUGCUUCGAAGUUCUCUCGGGUCUCAAGAUAAAUUUCUCCAAAAGUGAAGUUAUUGUCACUGGGGUGCCGGACACCGAGGCCUUGCGGGUGGCUCGCCUCCUGAACUGCUCUCUUGGUUCGUUCCCUAUAAAGUACCUGGGUUUACCUAUCACCUCUGGAAAACUCCUUGCUAAAGAUUUUGCUCCAACAGUGACCAAGGUGGGUAAUCGUGUUAUGCCCUGGAGGGGUAGAUACAACACUCAGGCGGGUAAAGUUGCCUUGAUUAAUGCGUGCCUAUCUUCUCUACCAAUGUUCUUGAUGGGUUUUUAUCUUCUUUCUAUGGGAACCCAUGCUGGCUUUGAUAAACACAGAGGUGCCUUCUAUUGGAAUGCCGCUGAUAACAAGCGCAAAUAUCGCUUGGUCAAAUGGGACCAUAUUUGUAAGCCAAAAAGCCUUGGGAGCUGGGCAUUAUUAACACUCUUGUUAUGA
rnacentral:rRNA from 1 species